rnacentral:rRNA from 1 species
AGAGUUUGAUCAUGGCUCAGGAUGAACGCUGGCGGCGUGCUUAACACAUGCAAGUCGAACGGGAAUGUUUCGCUGAUGCGAUUUCGGUCAAAUCUUGAAGCAUUUUAGUGGCGGACGGGUGAGUAACGCGUGGGUAACCUGCCCUGUACAGGGGGACAACAGUUGGAAACGACUGCUAAUACCGCAUAAGCGCACAGCUUCGCAUGAAGCAGUGUGAAAAACUCCGGUGGUACAGGGUGGACCCGCGUCUGAUUAGAUAGUUGGUGAGGUAACGGCCCACCAAGUCAACGAUCAGUAGCCGGCCUGAGAGGGCGAACGGCCACAUUGGGACUGAGACACGGCCCAAACUCCUACGGGAGGCAGCAGUGGGGAAUAUCGCACAAUGGGGGAAACCCUGAUGCAGCGACGCCGCGUGGAGGAAGAAGGUCUUCGGAUUGUAAACUCCUGUUGUUGAGGAAGAUAAUGACGGUACUCAACAAGGAAGUGACGGCUAACUACGUGCCAGCAGCCGCGGUAAAACGUAGGUCACAAGCGUUGUCCGGAAUUACUGGGUGUAAAGGGAGCGCAGGCGGGCGAUCAAGUUGGAAGUGAAAUCCAUGGGCUCAACCCAUGAACUGCUUUCAAAACUGAUUGUCUUGAGUAGUGCAGAGGUAGGCGGAAUUCCCGGUGUAGCGGUGGAAUGCGUAGAUAUCGGGAGGAACACCAGUGGCGAAGGCGGCCUACUGGGCACCAACUGACGCUGAGGCUCGAAAGUGUGGGUAGCAAACAGGAUUAGAUACCCUGGUAGUCCACACCGUAAACGAUGAUUACUAGGUGUUGGAGGAUUGACCCCUUCAGUGCCGCAGUUAACACAAUAAGUAAUCCACCUAGGGGAGUACGACCGCAAGGUUGAAACUCAAAGGAAUUGACGGGGGCCCGCACAAGCAGUGGAGUAUGUGGUUUAAUUCGACGCAACGCGAAGAACCUUACCAAGCCUUGACAUCCUGCGACGAUGCUAGAAAUAGUAUUUUCCUUCGGGACGCAGAGACAGGUGGUGCAUGGUUGUCGUCAGCUCGUGUCGUGAGAUGUUGGGUUAAGUCCCGCAACGAGCGCAACCCUUAUGGUCAGUUACUACGCAAGAGGACUCUGGCCAGACUGCCGUUGACAAAACGGAGGAAGGUGGGGAUGACGUCAAAUCAUCAUGCCCUUUAUGACUUGGGCUACACACGUACUACAAUGGCGUUAAACAAAGAGAAGCAAGACCGCGAGGUGGAGCAAAACUCAGAAACAACGUCCCAGUUCGGACUGCAGGCUGCAACUCGCCUGCACGAAGUCGGAAUUGCUAGUAAUCGUGGAUCAGCAUGCCACGGUGAAUACGUUCCCGGGCCUUGUACACACCGCCCGUCACACCAUGAGAGCCGGGGGGACCCGAAGUCGGUAGUCUAACCGCAAGGAGGACGCCGCCGAAGGUAAAACUGGUGAUUGGGGUGAAGUCGUAACAAGGUA